CCUACGGGAGGCAGCAGUGGGGGAUAUUGCACAAUGGGGGGAACCCUGAUGCAGCGACGCCGCGUGGGUGAAGAAGCCCCUCGGCGCGUAAAGCCCUGUCAGCAGGGAAGAAAAUGACGGUACCUGAAGAAGAAGCCCCGGCUAACUACGGGCCAGCAUCCGCGGUAAUACGUAGGGGGCAAGCGUUAUCCGGAUUUACUGGGUGUAAAGGGGGCGCAGACGGCGAUGCAAGCCAGGAGUGAAAGCCCGGGGGCCAACCCCCGGACUGCUCUUGGAACUGCGUGGCUGGAGUGCAGGAGGGGCAGGCGGAAUGCCUGGUGUAGCGGUGAAAUGCGUAGAUAUCAGGAGGAACACCGGUGGCGAAGGCGGCCUGCUGGACUGCAACUGACGUUGAGGCCCGAAAGCGUGGGGAUCAAACAGGAUUAGAUACCCCUGUAGUC
rnacentral:rRNA from 1 species